CCUACGGGAGGCAGCAGUGGGGGAUAUUGCACAAUGGGGGGAACCCUGAUGCAGCGACGCCGCGUGGGUGAAGAAGCGCCUCGGCGCGUAAAGCCCUGUCAGCAGGGAAGAAAAUGACGGUACCUGAAGAAGAAGCCCCGGCUAACUACGUGCCAGCAGCCGCGGUAAUACGCAGGGGGCAAGCGUUAUCCGGAUUUACCGGGUGUAAGGGGGGCGCAGACGGCGAUGCAAGCCAGGAGUGAAAGCCCGGGGCCCAACCCCGGGACUGCUCUUGAAACUGCGUGGCUGGAGUGCAGGAGGGGCAGGCGGAAUGCCUGGUGUAGCGGUGAAAUGCGUAGAUAUCAGGAGGAACACCGGUGGCGAAGGCGGCCUGCUGGACUGCAACUGACGUUGAGGCCCGAAAGCGUGGGGAGCAAACAGGAUUAGAUACCCGAGUAGUC
rnacentral:rRNA from 1 species